GGCGGCAUGCCUUACACAUGCAAGUCGAACGGUAACAGGUCUUCGGACGCUGACGAGUGGCGAACGGGUGAGUAAUACAUCGGAACGUGCCCAGUCGUGGGGGAUAACUACUCGAAAGAGUAGCUAAUACCGCAUACGAUCUGAGGAUGAAAGCGGGGGACCUUCGGGCCCCGCGCGAUUGGAGCGGCCGAUGGCAGAUUAGGUAGUUGGUGGGAUAAAAGCUUACCAAGCCGACGAUCUGUAGCUGGUCUGAGAGGACGACCAGCCACACUGGGACCGAGACACGGCCCAGACUCCUACGGGAGGCAGCAGUGGGGAAUUUUGGACAAUGGGCGAAAGCCUGAUCCAGCAAUGCCGCGUGCAGGAUGAAGGCCUUCGGGUUGUAAACUGCUUUUGUACGGAACGAAAAAGCUUCUCCUAAUACGAGAGGCCCAUGACGGUACCGUAAGAAUAAGCACCGGCUAACUACGUGCCAGCAGCCGCGGUAAUACGUAGGGUGCGAGCGUUAAUCGGAAUUACUGGGCGUAAAGCGUGCGCAGGCGGUUAUGUAAGACAGAUGUGAAGUCCCCGGGCUCAACCUGGGAACUGCAUUUGUGACUGCAUGGCUAGAGUACGGUAGAGGGGGAUGGAAUUCCGCGUGUAGCAGUGAAAUGCGUAGAUAUGCGGAGGAACACCGAUGGCGAAGGCAAUCCCCUGGACCUGUACUGACGCUCAUGCACGAAAGCGUGGGGAGC
rnacentral:rRNA from 1 species